rnacentral:rRNA from 1 species
AGAGUUUGAUCAUGGCUCAGGACGAACGCUGGCGGCAGGCCUAACACAUGCAAGUCGAACGCUCGUAGCAAUACGGGAGUGGCAGACGGGUGAGUAACACGUGGGAACCUUCCCUAUGGUUCGGAAUAGCUCAGGGAAACUUGGGGUAAUACCGAAUAAGCCCUUCGGGGGAAAGAUUUAUCGCCAUUGGAUGGGCCCGCGUCGGAUUAGCUAGUUGGUGGGGUAACGGCCUACCAAGGCGACGAUCCGUAGCUGGUCUGAGAGGAUGAUCAGCCACACUGGGACUGAGACACGGCCCAGACUCCUACGGGAGGCAGCAGUGGGGAAUAUUGGACAAUGGGCGCAAGCCUGAUCCAGCCAUGCCGCGUGAGUGACGAAGGUCUUCGGAUUGUAAAACUCUUUUGGCGGGGACGAUAAUGACGGUACCCGCAGAAUAGCC